rfam:Gossypium raimondii chromosome 5, whole genome shotgun sequence.
CCGACCUUAGCUCAGUUGGUAGAGCGGAUGACUGUAGUAGGUUGCAACCUUCCGCUAAUCCUCAGUUCGCUGGUUCAAAUCUGGUAGGGCUGAGGGCUGUAGUCGGUUGUAAGCUUUAGCUAAUCCUUAGGUCACUGGUUCGAAUCCCGUAGGUCGGA